AUUGAACGCUGGCGGCAUGCUUUACACAUGCAAGUCGGACGGCAGCACAGAGAAGCUUGCUUCUUGGGUGGCGAGUGGCGAACGGGUGAGUAACAUAUCGGAACGUACCGGGCAGUGGGGGAUAACUAAUCGAAAGAUUAGCUAAUACCGCAUAUCUUCUGAGGAAGAAAGCAGGGGACCAUUUGGCCUUGCGCUGUUUGAGCGGCCGAUAUCUGAUUAGCUAGUUGGUGGGGUAAAGGCCUACCAAGGCGACGAUCAGUAGCGGGUCUGAGAGGAUGAUCCGCCACACUGGGACUGAGACACGGCCCAGACUCCUACGGGAGGCAGCAGUGGGGAAUUUUUGGACAAUGGGGCGCAAGCCUGAUCCCAGCCAUGCCCGGCGUGUCUGAAGAAGGGCCUUUCGGGGUUGUAAAAGAACUUUUGUCCAGGGAAG
rnacentral:rRNA from 1 species